rnacentral:rRNA from 1 species
UGGGGAAUAUUGGACAAUGGGCGAAAGCCUGAUCCAGCCAUGCCGCGUGUGUGAAGAAGGUCUUCGGAUUGUAAAGCACUUUAAGUUGGGAGGAAGGGCAGUAAGCGAAUACCUUGCUGUUUUGACGUUACCGACAGAAUAAGCACCGGCUAACUCUGUGCCAGCAGCCGCGGUAAUACAGAGGGUGCAAGCGUUAAUCGGAAUUACUGGGCGUAAAGCGCGCGUAGGUGGUUCGUUAAGUUGAAUGUGAAAGCCCCGGGCUCAACCUGGGAACUGCAUCCAAAACUGGCGAGCUAGAGGAGGGCAGAGGGUGGUGGAAUUUCCUGUGUAGCGGUGAAAUGCGUAGAUGUAGGAAGGAACACCAGUGGCGAAGGCGACCACCUGGGCUCAUACUGACACUGAGGUGCGAAAGCGUGGGGAGCAAACAGG